rnacentral:rRNA from 1 species
GAAGCCCAGCGCAUAACCUCCCGGGCUACCCAGCCUGCGGCGGCAUGUUGCGUAAAGGGAAAGGUCGUUGUUAAGCCCUGCACAACGUGUACCUAAGUUUGGCUUGAUGUUGUCGCUGUUCCUAACGGAGCUACGGUACCACAGAGGGUGAAAGUCCCGUCUGGCCACGUGGAACAUGUGCAUGGGUUCGGCCUCAUUCCCUGAGAGUCGCGUUGCUUGAGCAUGCAGCGCUAAGCAGGACGUAAACUCGUCCUAAGGCUAAAUACAUCCACAAAACCGAUAGUUAACAAGUACCGUGAGGGAAAGUUGAAAAGCACUCUGAAGAGAGAGUCAAAAGACCGUGAAACCGUUCAGAGUAUAAGCCAAUGGUUUUCGGAAAGCUGGGUCCGCGGAAUUCCUUUGGAGUAACGUAUCGUGUGUGAAAAGCUUCUUUGCCGUUGUGGUACGCAUCCUUCAUUGAGUUGUUUGGAUCUGUGGAAACUCACGGGCCUCUGACAGUGGUAACUGGGGCGGCUACUAUGGAGCUGCCCCUAGGCUGGGCUUGAGUGAGCUGGCAUUGUAGAGCACACAAACGAGUGGACUUAAAACAGCUCACCACAACUCUUUGUUGGGUCCCCCAUGCGAGGUGUGACAGCGUGGUCCGUGGUGUCCUGUGAGACGCUUUGCGGCAGGUUCUCAGGGCGGCCGGACUCGAUCACUUCCAGACGUGUGGCGGUAUGAUCCCUUCGAAGGUUGCGUUCUGACCAUCCAUAAUACUGCAAUACGCGGCGCGCGGCCUGGUCGUUUCUGUGAAAGGCCAGUGGGUCUGGUUCGCUGCGGACCGUUGUAUGAGGAUGACUGGUGACAAAUUCCGGGGCCGUUGGUCACGUCUCGAAACACGGGCCAAGGAGCAUAGCAUGUGCGCAAGUCUAAGGGUUCCACAAAACCUGGAGGCGAAGUGAAAGCAAGUUGGUGUGUCUGUCUGAGCUGGGGCACUUUGGCAAGGGCAGGCAGCCCGGGUUGUCUCGUAAUUCCUGUCCGGAUGCAUGCGGUCCCGGCUUAUACCGAGCUGAUCCGCCGUUAGCAAGCGACCUCGCGCAACGGCGGCGCAAGCUCCAGGCUCACCACAUCGCUCCCGGAGUGAGGGGAGCACUGUGUAGCGUGCAUGCUAUGACCCGAAAGAUAGUGAACUAUGCCUGGCGA